GAAAUUUGCAAAACUCGAAAUUAUCAGGGACAGCUACAAACGACUUUAGAGAAUAUUUAAGAAGUCAGAAAAACGAUUGAUCAAAAUUCUUACAAUUGUUGAAGCAGAGGCUUAAACACUGAACAUGACCCCAGCAGAUUCCAGCUUAACAUAUUUCGUAAGCUCUUGUAAUUCUUUAACCAUAGAUUGCCAUGUAUAAUCAAAGUUCUUCUUGGUUGGUUUCAAAUGUCAAGAAACUACUGAUCCAAAAUCUUAAGCUUUUAUGUGAGAAUCACAAAAACAAUGUUAUAAUUCUAAUGCACUUUACAUUUGAUUGUCCAUUAAACUUAAAGUGAUAAUAAACAUUGG
rnacentral:misc_RNA from 1 species